GCUGCAGGAAACAAAAUCAAACAAAUGAGAAACCUUAUAUAAGAAAUUCUCCCAACAUCAGAGUAAAAAAGUUAAGGAGACGAAAAUUUUAAUUAAUAAGAGAAACAGGGAACAGAUUUGGGAGAUGUAACUAAUGUACAUAUAAUAGGAGUCUUGGAGGGUCUGAAUAGAGCAGGCCACUUAGAAGCAAAAAGAGGAGAUAAAGAAGAAUGAGAAGACAGUCUGCCUGGGCUGAAAAACGACCUGAGUUUUCAAUUUAAAGGGUUUAUUUAUAGAGGAAACACUAAUUUUUACAAAUCUACAAUCAGACAAAUACUGGCCAAUUUCGGAGUUUCAAAGAAAAUAUUCUAAAAGCAUUUUAUCCAGACAGAGAGAAAAAAAGAUAAUAAAUGUAUGCAGAACUGAAGAGCAGAUUUUGACACAGCCAGCUGCACCAAGGAGAAGGGGACCUUUCCCAGUGGUUACUACUCCAUGUGAUAUCACUGGACUCUGAAUCCAGCUGGCCCUCAGAGACCAUUUCUCCAACUAUCAGGAAAAUAUCUGUCCAAAGGCAUUUUAAAAAUGAAACCUGACCUACACUUCAACUCUACGGCAAUGGUCUGCCUGCUCAAAAACAACGUAUGACCUUUAAAUCUUAAAUUAUAAAAUAGUUUGUUGAAAGUGUAAUGUAUUUAGGUUUUAUCUAAUAACGUAAGGAAAUGCAAUCAUUUCCUCACGAAAACUAGAGGAAAAAAAAACAACAAAAAAUGUCCCAUUUUCAUUACUUACAAAUAAAACUACCAGCCACAA